AUUGAACGCUGGCGGCAGGCCUAACACAUGCAAGUCGAGCGAGCGGCGGACGGGUGAGUAAUGUAUGGGGACUGCACGCUAGAGGGGGAUAACUACUGGAAACGGUUGCUAAUACCGCAUACUAUCGGAUAACCCAUAUGGGAUUAGCUAGUGGGGGGGGUAAAGGCUCACCUAGGCGAUGAUCCCUAGCUGGUAUGCGAGGAUGAUCAGCCACACUGGGACUGAGACACGGCCCAGACUCCUACGGAGGCAGCAUUGGGGAAUAUUGCACAAUGGGGUCAACCCUGACGCAGCCAUGCCGCGUGAAUUAAGAAGGCCUUCGGGUUGUAAAGUUCUUUCGGUAGCGAGGCAUUACCCGCAGAAGAAGCACCGGCUAACUCCGUGCCAGCAGCCGCGGUAAUUC
rnacentral:rRNA from 1 species